rnacentral:ncRNA from 2 species
UCUAUAUUCUUAAAUCUUGAUAUACUAAUGUUGGCAAGAAACGGAAAGCGGUGAAAAGCCGCUGCGGACGCGCCGCUGUAACCGGCACAACCCGUUGAUGACCACCGAAAGGGAAGGGAAUCAACAUCUUGGGGCCGGGAGCCAGAAGACGUCUUGCCGGAGUGCAAAAC